CUGGGUAAAGGCCUCGCGCCUCCAACCCCACCCUUUGCAACCGCGGCCCGGAUUCGGCGCUCGGCGGGGGACCCUCUGCUCGCGGAGGCCUCUCGCCUGCCGGAAUCAGCCAACCCUACCUAGAAAAUUGAAGUCUGAGAACAAGUUAAAUUAAACA
rnacentral:misc_RNA from 1 species